AGCUAAGGCCAAUGGCAGCAAAAAGGUGUGACAUAGCUUGACUAGCUUGCAAGAGCAGUGUAAUUGCAGAUGGAUGACAGCAAGACUGGAAUGAACUUAAACAGAGGGCUCUCGUCGCAAAAAUAAGCAAGGUAAGCAAACUGAAGCAGAGUGGAAGAAGGAUUCAGUGACAGUUGCGGCAGACCAUAGUGGUAAUUUAAUCUUCAGACUUUAUGCUUCAUGUGCAGGGAGUCCCUUGAGCAUAUAAGAGUCACUACAUUUGGGGGAGGGAGGCCUGGUUUUACUCCAAAAUUGAUCGGAGCUUAGUCACUGCGGGAAUCAUUAUAGGACUGAGUUUUACAGCAGAGCCCCUAGGAGUCUUCUAAAUUAUAUCCGUAUGGCCAUGAAAGAUUCCCUCCCAUAAGGAUUCUAAGGCUCGCCAUAACCUUAUAAGAUAAGGAGCCCUGCUGAAUCAGGCAAAGUCUCUAUCAGUUCCAGCAUCUCUUUCAACCAGCCACCAUCCAGGUCCCUCAGCACAGACAAUUCUGCCAGUGAGAUAGCUGGAUGUUAAGGUGGCGGGUGGCGCUGUGGGCUAAACCACAGAGCCUAGGGCUUGCCGAUCAGAAGGUCAGAAGUUCAAAUCCCUGCGACGGGGUGAGCUCCCGUCGCUCAGUCCCUGCUCCUGCCAACCUAGCAGUUCAAAAGCACGAAGUGUAAGUAGAUAAAUAGGUACCACUCCAGUGGGAAGGUAAACGGCGUUUCCGUGCGUUGCUCUGGUUCGCCAGAAGCGGCUUAGUCAUUCUGGCCACAUGCCCUGAUAAAACUGUCUUCAGACAAAUGUCGGCUCUCUCGGCCAGUAAAGCGAGAUGAGCGCCGCAACCCCAGAGUCGUUUCACGACUGGACCUACUGGUCAGGGGUCCCUUUACCUUUACCUUUAAGGUGAUCCCAGGUGGGAAUGUCUAAAAGCUGGAAGAGAACUAACUUUUUAGUCUCACCAAGACUCAAUCAGGAGGUGGCAGAGAAGGCUGAUAUUAAAAAAAAUAAAAAGUAAAAAUCUGCCAAUCUUGUUGCUAAGAAGGUUAGAUGAAAUGAAGCAGGAUGCAUGACCAACUUAAAAUAAUCCCCCAGGUGUUAUUGGCCCAGAGAUGAAAAGAAGAUAACGUCCCAACCAGAAAAGAAUGGAAGAUUACGGUAAAUUGAUGGAUUAUGCCAAAAUGGCAAAAAUGACCAGAAGAAUCAGAAACCAGGAAGACCAAAAUAUUAAUAAAGAAUGGGGGGGGGGAAUUGUAAUUUAUCUUAAAAACCAUUGUAAACAGUUAAAAUUGUUACUAGGAUUUGAAUCACUUGUAGUUUUACGGUGAAUUUUAGAUAAAAUGGAGAUGUAAAAGAUUUGGAUUAUUAUAAAAGUUGCAGGAGGAAAUGAUUAACAAUAGGACCAACAAAGGGGAGGAGGGAAGUCCAGGAGAUUUUCUGGAAUCUUGUCUUUAUGUUGUAUGUUGGUUUCUUGUAAUUCACGGCCAGCUGUUCUCUCUGGCAAUAUCCUGAAAAUGCCCUCAUCAGUCUUUUUAGGCCUACUUUUGGUUGGGAUAGAAGAACCAUAUCAUCUGCAUAUAAUAGUAUUGAGAUGGGUUUUGUGGCCAAUUUAGGGGCAUGAUAUUCUGGAGAUGCUAGACACUGGACAAUACCAUUUAUAUAUAAGUUGAACAGUGCUGGGGCUUGACUCCUUUGUGGCUGGUACAGGUCUUGUAAGUUGUCCAUUUGUGGAGCAGCGCACUUUCAGCACAGUAUCUUUAUAAAAGCAUUUGACCAAGUACAGUAGUCUGUCUAUACUUGAGAAGUUCAGCUUAUCUCACAGUCUUACUCGUGAAACUGAGUCAAAUGCAGCUUUCAAAUCAAUGAAAAAGCACACCGCGUGGUUUCUUAGCAUACUUGUCAAUGAGAUGUGCUAGAACAAAGCAAUGAUCCAGGGUGGAUCUGCCUUGCCUAAAUUCUGCUUGCUCUUCAGCGAGAAUAGCCUCAUCAUCUAGCCAGUUGGCUAGUUUGUUAUAGAGGUGCUUUGCAUAUAGUUUAUAGGUAACAAACCGAUUGGUCUGUAGCUAACCGGAUCAGAUGUGAGGCCCUUUUUGAAUAUAGGGAUGACAACUGCUGUGGCCCAAGCGUCAGGGAGUAAACCAGAUGAAUCAAUAAGUGAGAAUAUUACCACAAGGAGGGGUGCCCACCAAUCAAUGUUAGAUUUCAAGAGUUCCAGAGGCAAGUGAUCGAUGCCUGGUGCUUUGUUGUUUUUUAGUUGCAUGAUGAAGUUUUUGACCUCAGUUGUAGUUACUGGAAGCCAGGCUAAUAAAUUUUCUGGGGAUACUGUUAGUUUUCCCAAGAAACUAUAGGGCCCAUAGAUGGCACAUGGACAACCAGCUAACUGAACAGGUCAAAGUUUUCAAAUAUCUUGGCCUUAUUUUCCAGUCUACGGAAAAUGGGGAGCACACCAGAAAUGUGCAAAAGAAAAAGCGUCCCAAAGCCAAAAUUCUGACACGCUUUUUCUACACAAAAGGUGGUAAACGUAUACCAUCAGUCCUGGAAGUGUUCCAUGCUAAACCCCUAGCAAAGUUAUUAUAUGGGGCUCAGAUCUGGACAGGCACUUACCUGGGAUCUACAGAAGCUGUCCAAUCAAAGUUCUUAAGGUAAAUUUUCUCUGUACCACCCUGUGCCCCAAACGCAUCAUUGUGCCUAGACGCUAAUCUUCCCUCGGGAGAAUUGCGGAUCUGGACACUUAACUAUUGGCUUUGCCUAAACUCAAAUUCCCCCAGUCUAAUAUCCCUAGUGCUGCAAGUUUGUCACAAGAGCGCCUGGACUAAAAUUGUCUAUCAAAAACUUCACUCUUGUGGUUUAUCACCACAACAGCUACUCACUUUGGGUUUUAGUAAAGCAAACAGUCUAAUUUGUCAGUGCCAAAAUGAUAUCGAGCAUCAGAACAACUUGGCCACAAUAAGGAAAUUCUGCCCAUGGUAUGACAAUUUCCCACCUACCCAUUUUGACUCUCUGGCACCCUAUCUGCAUAAACUAGCAAUUCUAAAAUAUAGACGCGCUUUUACUCUGCAAGAUGGAAUGUAUUUGCCCUCGGCUGUACUUGAUCCAACAGAUUCCACAGAAAAACCCUUAUGUCCCUGUGGAGAUGGCAGUACCGAAUUGGCACAUGCCCUUCUCGGUUGCACUCUUUAUAAAGACUUGAGGAAUGAGGUCAUCACCCCUCUUUUAUUGUCCAUUCUGGGUUGCCCAGUCACUGCCAAUCUGUCCCUUCUCUUUGCAGAUCAAGAUGAGCAGGUUGACAGCAAAGCUUGCAAGGUUUUUAGCUGGGGCAAUUAGAAUAAGAUCCACUAUUUGACUACUGAUUCAAAACGCU
rnacentral:lncRNA from 1 species